CAAGAGCGUAUGUAAAAGUUGUUGCAGUUAAAAAGCUCGUAGUUGAACCUUGGGUUUGGUUGGCCGGUCCGCUUUUUUGCGAGUACUGGAUUCAACCGAGCCUUUCCUUCUGGCUAACCAGUCGUUUCGGCGGCUGGCGAACCAGGAUUUUUACUUUGAGAAAAUUAGAGUGUUCAAAGCAGGCAUUAGCUUGAAUAUAUUAGCAUGGAAUAAUAGAAUAGGACGUUAUGGUUCUAUUUUGUUGGUUUCUAGGACCAUCGUAAUGAUUAAUAGGGACGGUCGGGGGCAUCAGUAUUCAGUUGUCAGAGGUGUAAUUCUUGGAUUUACUGAAGACUAACUACUGCGAAAGCAUUUGCCAAGGACGUUUUCAUUAA
rnacentral:rRNA from 1 species